rnacentral:rRNA from 1 species
UACGUAGGGUGCAAGCGUUGUCCGGAUUUAUUGGGCGUAAAGAGCUCGUAGGCGGUCUGUCGCGUCGGAUGUGAAAACCCAGGGCUCAACCCUGGGCCUGCAUUCGAUACGGGCAGACUAGAGUGUGGCAGGGGAGACUGGAAUUCCUGGUGUAGCGGUGAAAUGCGCAGAUAUCAGGAGGAACACCGGUGGCGAAGGCGGGUCUCUGGGCCGAUAUUGACGCUGAGGAGCGAAAGCGUGGGGAGCGAACAGG